rnacentral:lncRNA from 1 species
UUUUUUUCCUAUUAAACUUUCCACUUCUUUCUUUUUCCUUUCUAAUUCUCUUUUUAAAUACCAGAAAUCGUACACUCCUUUAUUUUGACAACAAUUAAUCAUAUAACAGCCGAAUGACCAUUAAAAAAUAUACAUUUUAUUGUGACAAGAGCAAUAUGACAACAUGUAUUUUCGAAUUUCGAUAUUUUGAAAGUGUGUCGAGACACCAAAAAAAACGAUAAAAGUCAUCACCGAUGCUAAAAGAACCAUAAGGUAAUUAGAUAUAUUUCAUCAUCAUUAUUCGUGGUUAACGAAAA